GCCAAAAAUCUAGCCCUAUUAACCCAUAUGACCUAAAACCUAACACCACCAACUAAAACAUUUACCCCCUUCAGUAAAGGCGAUUGAAAAAUUUAUUAGAGCUAUAACUAUAGUACCGCAAGGAAAAGAUGAAAUAAAAAUGAAAUAAAUUUUAAGCACAAAAAAGCAGAGUUACACCCUCGUACCUUUUGCAUCAUGAUCUACCUAGUUUAAUCAAGCAAAAAGAACUUCAGUUUGACAUCCCGAAACUAGACGAGCUACUUCGAGGCAGCUUAAAGAGCCCACCCGUCUCUGUUGCAAAAGAGUGGGAAGACCCCCAAGUAGCGGUGACAGACCUAACGAGCCUAGUGAUAGCUGGUUACUUAGGAAAAGGAUUUUAGUCCCACCUAAAGCAAACAAAAUAAACUCAAAUAAUACUGACGCUUUAGCGCCAUUCAAACGAGGUACAGCCCGUUUGAGAUAAGGACACAACCUACACUAAUGGGUAAUUUCUACUUUUAUUAAAUAAGUGGGCCUAAAAGCAGCCACCUUCAAGAUAGCGUCAAAGCUUCGUUAUAGAAAAACUUAAAUUCCACAGCCCCCUAAAAACCCUUUAUCAGUACUAAGUUGCCCUAUACCCCUAUAGAAGCAUUUAUGUUAGAACUAGUAAUAAGAAGACAGACCUUCUCUUAAAUGUAAGUGUAAAUCAGAAAGGACUAACCCCUGAUAAUUAAACACCCAUGAAAACAAGACAGCAACCUCACCAGAAAACCCUGUUUUUCUCAGCGUUAAUCUAACACCAGCACAUUUCAAGAAAAAUUAAAAGAAAAAGAAGGAACUCGGCAAAUAUUAGCCCCGCCUGUUUACCAAAAACAUCGCCUCUUGAUUUUAUAUAAGAGGUCCAGCCUGCCCAGUGACUCAGUUCAACGGCCGCGGUAUCCUAACCGUGCGAAGGUAGCGUAAUCACUUGUUCUUUAAAUAAGGACUAGUAUGAAUGGCACCACGAGGGCUAUACUGUCUCCUUUUUCUAAUUAAUGAAACUGAUCUCCCCGUGAAGAAGCGGGGAUUAACAUAUAAGACGAGAAGACCCUAUGGAGCUUCAAACAAAAAUAGCACUAGCCCUCCCCGUGCCUUAAAACAUAGUAGCUACACAGGCUAGAGUGACUAUUAGUUUUAGGUUGGGGUGACCGCGGAGCAAAAAUAAACCUCCACAUUGAACUGGAACCUUCCUUAGCUAAAAGCCACAACUUUAAGCAAUAUUAAAAUAACAUUAAUUGACCCAAUACUUUGAUCAAUGAACCAAGUUACCCUAGGGAUAACAGCGCAAUCCAUUUCAAGAGCUCCUAUCGACAAAUGGGUUUACGACCUCGAUGUUGGAUCAGGGUGUCCCAGUGGUGCAGCCGCUACUAAAGGUUCGUUUGUUCAACGAUUAAAACCCU
rnacentral:rRNA from 1 species